UACAGAGGGUGCAAGCGUUAAUCGGAAUUACUGGGCGUAAAGCGCGCGUAGGCCGUCGAUUAAGUCGGAUGUGAAAUCCCCGGGCUUAACCUGGGAAUUGCAUUCGAUACUGCUUGGCUAGAGUGUGGAAGAGGGAAGCGGAAUUUCCGGUGUAGCGGUGAAAUGCGUAGAUAUCGGAAGGAACACCAGCGGCGAAGGCGGCUUCCUGGGCCAACACUGACGCUGAGGCGCGAAAGCGUGGGGAGCGAACAGG
rnacentral:rRNA from 1 species